GACCCAGUGGCGAAGUGGUUUCGCGUCCGCGCAGAUUUCAUCGUUUACUGCACUUUCCGCGGGAGACACCCGUUCGAUUCGGGUCUGGGUCA